CACAGACCCCUUUUCUCGUAGAUCUGC
rnacentral:piRNA from 1 species